UUUCCGUAGGUGAACCUGCGGAAGGAUCAUUAAUGAGUUGUCAUGGGGUUCGAUGCUGGCAGCCAAUUUUUGGAUGCAUGUGCUUGCCCUAACAAUCAUCUUCCAAACACCUGUGCACAUUUUGAGGGAGUCUUGAGUUGGUUGCCGCUCUUGGGUGAUUUUCUCACAUUCCCUUAAAUCAUUAUACGCUAUUAACAAUGUUGAACGUGCUCUGUGCCGCAAGGCUAUUAAUAUAAUACAACUUUUAACAACGGAUCUCUUGGCUCUC
rnacentral:misc_RNA from 1 species